UGUUGGAGUUAUUCUGCUAGCUUGUGUUUUGACAUAUGAGUCCCUAAUUUUUUUUAUAAUGGGUUUUAUUAGAUUAUGUUUUGCUUUUCACUCUUCUGUCAAUGGCUGUCAUGCCCACCUCCUUACCGAAUGAAAUAGCCGCAGUGUCAUUAGUUUCAGUACUACAGAUUUGUUGUCAUGAAAAUGAAGUUUUAGCUUUUCAGCAAUUCUGGGUCGUUGUUGAAUUUUCAACAAUAUCACGCAUCUAUGUUUAUGUAUUAGAAAAUUGCAACAUGGGUGAAGGACCAUUAUGUAUUCUUUUUUUUCGCAAGUUGAGGUUGAAGAUGUCUGUUUGAUAUGUCCAUACCUUUUCUGUCCUUUCUAUUUGGUCGUGAUAUGGAUCUUCCUUUUAUUUGCCAUCAAAAUAAGCCUACCCUUAGGCUCUCUCAUCAGGUUAUGCUGAAAUACCUCUUAUUUAACUGGUGAUUACAACUUACAAGCUUGCUACUGUUUCUAUAUUCAAGGACCUGUCUGUUGAAAGUCCAAAAUAUUGGUGAUUCUGGCCUCUGGUGGGAAUUUAUCUUGAGACUAUGAGAACCAAUCGAGGGAAACGCUCUGAGGCCUUUUGGCCUUCCAUUGUGAUGAAGAAGUGGCUAAAUAUCAAGCCGAAGGUGUAUGAGUUCAGUGAAGAUGAGGUUGACACUGAAACUGAAAGUGAAGAUGAUGCUUGCUCUCUUAAAGAUGAAAGAAUGCACGUGCCUGAGGAUCGUGCCCAGAGGACACAGGGGAACCUUUUCACUCGGCCCAGUAAAACUUCAGGCAGUACUUUGAUUUCUAUGGGUACAUCUUCCACGGAUUAUCGGUUAAGGCACAGGAGAGGAAAAUCCGAAACUUUGCGUGCACAGUACAUUAAUACAAAGGAUGUGAGGGUGACAAUUGGUACUUGGAAUGUUGCUGGAAAACUUCCAAAUGAAGAUCUUGAGAUUGAUGACUGGCUUUGUACAGAAGAGCCAGGAGAUAUUUACAUUAUUGGUUUUCAAGAGGUAGUCCCUUUGAAUGCCGGGAAUGUUCUGGGAGCAGAGGAUAGCCGGCCUAUUCAAAAAUGGGAGGCAAUAAUUCGAAAAACUCUCAACAAAUCUUUGGAUCCUAAAAGCAAACACAAGAGUUAUAGUGCCCCACCCUCCCCAGUGCUAAGGACUUCUUCUGUUGCUGAUGUUCUUGCAUCUGAGAUUGAUGUUCAUCCAUUAGAGAUGAUGUGUGAGGAAUACACCAGGAAGAAAAAAUUUUAUGACAAGGAACAAGAGACACUGGAUAAAGGAACUGAUAUUGGAAUGCAUUCUCAAUUCAGGAGAAUAUAUGGCAUUGAUUUCACCAGUAGAUUAGACUGGCCUGAGCAUUCAUUAGAUGCAACCCCUCAGGUAGUCUCCUCCAAUUCAAAGUUGCGGAGAGUAUUUAGCAGUUCGGGAAGAAUUGGAUAUAACUUGACAGAGAAUUCUCUACUAGGGAGUCCACAAAGUUUUGCAUUAGAUGGUAGUAGAUUGAAACGAAUGCAUAAUAGCUCUGGUGAUCUAGGCUUGAUGUGGAUGGAGCAGCAAGAGAAGCCUGAAGUUCUCGAUUCUCUCUCUGAUGUUUCCAACACCUUUUCUGAUGAGGAAGAUGGUUUUUUUGAAUUACCAGAGGAGCAGCAUAAUUUUGAAGUAACCGAAAAUGGUGUGAAGUCAUGUCCUAGGUAUGUGCGAGUUGUCAGCAAGCAGAUGGUAGGGAUAUAUGUAUCAGUUUGGGUUCGAAAGAGGUUGAGAAGGCAUAUCAACAAUUUGGAAGUUUCUCUUGUUGGAGUCGGUCUAAUGGGCUACAUGGGAAACAAGGGCUCUGUUUCUGUUAGCAUGUCCCUGUUUCAAUCACGAAUGUGCUUUGUUUGUUCUCAUCUGACCUCUGGUCAGAAGGAUGGGGCUGAGCAGAGGCGUAAUUCUGAUGUCUAUGAAAUAAUACGACGUACCCGUUUCUCAUCUUUCUUUGAAACAAAUCAACCACAGACUAUUCCUUCUCAUGAUCAGAUAUUCUGGUUUGGGGAUUUGAACUAUCGUAUCAAUAUGUUGGAUACAGAAGUUAGGAAACUGGUUGCUCUUAGAAGGUGGGAUGAACUUCUCAAAAAUGAUCAGCUAAGCAAAGAACUCCGGAGUGGACAUGUAUUUGAUGGAUGGAAUGAGGGCGUGAUAGACUUUCCACCUACUUACAAGUAUGAAACCAACUCUGAUAGAUAUGUUGGUGAGAACCCAAAAGAAGGGGAGAAAAGAUCUCCGGCCUGGUGUGAUCGUGUGCUGUGGUUAGGAAAAGGUAUAAAACAACUGUCCUACAAAAGGGCUGAAUUAAGGCUCUCAGAUCAUCGACCAGUUCGUUCAAAUUUCUUGGUUGAAGUUGAAGUCCUAGACCAUCGGAAGCUGCAAAGGGCUAUCAAUUACAAUAGCGCAGCUGUACAUCCUGAAAUUUUCCCCGACGAAGAGAGUUAGAAUGAGAAAUCUUAGCAGAUACCAGAUUAUUUUAAAAGAUUACUCCAGAUAUAUGUGAAGACGGAACUUGAAUUAACUACCUUGGUUCCAUAUCUCUUGAUUUUCAGCCUCUGUUACAUUUUCCAUAAGGGAUUGCAAGUCAUUUUGGCAAGGUUGCAAGAUUGUUAUCUGGUGGAUGAUUGUUGGUUUCAAGAUAUACCCACCAACUAUCACUGUCUGACCAGUAGCUGUCAGACAGUGAUAGUUGGUUUCUAGAAGCGAUCCUCACUGUCAAGUACUGUUGCAGCCUGCAUCAGAAUUUAAGUUUGCCUUAGGUUAUACAAGCCAAUAAGUUAAUAGGACUAACAGGUAAAUGUAUAUAGUAAAGGCCUAUCCUUUUUUUUAAAGGCCUAUCCAUUUGUUUUUAUAGUUUUUGUUUUAGUCUUGUUUUGUUAAAUUUGUAGUUGAUUGGUUUGUGGAGCUGAUAUAAAUGCCAUUUGACAGUUUUUACUUAUAAUUGGAUCAA